AGGCGCAUCGCUGGGUAGCUAUGAACGGAAGGGAUAAACGCUGAAAGCAUCUAAGUGUGAAGCCCCCCUCGAGAUGAGAUUUCCCAUUCCUAUAUGGAAGUAAGACCCCUGAAAGAUGAUCAGGUAGAUAGGCUGGAAGUGGAAGUGCAGCGAUGCAUGGAGCGGACCAGUACUAAUCGGUCGAGGACUUAACCAA
rnacentral:rRNA from 1 species